UUUCCGUAGGUGAACCUGCGGAAGGUUCAUUACCGAGUGAGGGUCUCUCAGGCCCGACCUCCCACCCUGUGUUUUUGUGACCUUGUUGCUUCGGCGGGCCCGCCUCGAUGAGAGGCCGCCGGAAGCUCACCGCAUUGGGCCCGUGCCCGUCAGUAGCCCCCUUAAAUUCUUAAUAAACUUGUCGUCUAAGUUAAUGGAUAUAGUGAAAAAAAACUUUCAACAACGGAUCUCUUGGUUCUG
rnacentral:misc_RNA from 1 species